rnacentral:misc_RNA from 1 species
AACUUUUGGCAAUGGAUCUCUUGGCUCUGGCAUCGAUGAAGAACGCAGCGAAAUGCGAUACGUAGUGUGAAUUGCAGAAUUUAGUGAACCAUCGAAUCUUUGAACGCACCUUGCGGCCGCCGGUAAUCCGGCGGCCAUGCCCGUCCGAGCGUCGUUACGAACCUCGGGGCCCCACACCUGUUAUAAGCAGGGGCCCCGGCCCUUGGACCAGCGCGCGCGCCGACACGGGCGCGCGCGGUCCGUAGACCAGCGGCGGCAGCGCCAGCGACGUCCCCUGCGUAGUAGCAAUAUCUCGUACCGGACGCCUGGAGCGGCCCGCCCCGGGGCGCCCCGCGGCGCCCCGGCCACGUACACGCGUACCACCAAGUCGACCUCGGAUCGGGUAGGGAUACCCGCUAAACUUAAGCAUAUCAAUAAGCGGAGGCU